GGCGUCUUACCCAAGUGGUAAGGGAACGGUCUGCAAAACCGUGAUUGAGCAGUUCGAUUCUGCUAGACGCCU
rnacentral:tRNA from 1 species